AUGACUAUGAGGCCUAACGAUCAAUACCCUAUUCUGCUUUUCCUACAACAAGGACAAUCCCCUACUCUGAUGAAUCUUCCGGAGCACGUCGUUGAUGGAGGUAACCUGCUACUCAUCAGGCGCACACAUCCUCCUUUCACUUGUUCAGAUGAUGGUGUCCACUUUGAAAACAGUGAGAGAAAUCACCACACCACAUCAUUUCAGUUAGACAUACCUUAUCUUAUCACGAAACCGGGGUCUUAUCCGCGAUGCUCUGCUCUGAUAUGCUCGGAGCUCGUUGGGCUUUCUUUCAGUCGAAAUCACACCUUCUGUCCAAAGUUGCACUCAUGA
rnacentral:rRNA from 1 species